rnacentral:rRNA from 1 species
UACAGAGGGUGCUAGCGUUGUUCGGAAUCAUUGGGCGUAAAGGGCGUGUAGGCGGUUUGUUAAGUCAUGUGUGAAAUCCCUCGGCUCAACCGGGGAACGACGCAUGAAACUGGCAAGCUAGAGUACCAAAGAGGGGGGUGGAAUUCCCGGUGUAGCGGUGAAAUGCGUAGAGAUCGUAAGGAAGGCCAGUGGCGAAGGCGAGUUCCUGGACAGUUACUGACGCUGAGGCACGAAGGCCAGGGGAGCAAACGGG